GAAACCAGCGCCGCGGUCUGUAACACUCGUCGCUUUUUACCUUAUUUACUUCUACGGAGUUUUAAGCCAUCCGAAACCAACAGGUGGCCAUUUCCCUAUUCAGUUAUUUUGAGUAAUUACUAUUAUUUCUGGAGGCUCGCAGGGGAUGAGAGUGAUCUAAAUGCAGCGCUUUCCAGUUUUACUCAGCGUCUCCGCAUCGCUGCUUAUUUAUACGUGCGCGAUGUCAGACCCGCAAGUGAUUGACCUGCUAACGCUGAGCGAUGCCAAGCAGAGUGCCGUGGCAGUGGAGAGGCUGCUGAGGGCCCUGGAGACAGCCAGCGACAUCUACAUCGUGUCCACAUUCCGCCUGCCCCCCAAGAUGGGGGGCGUCCUGCUGGGCCUUUACGGCAAGCAGGACAACAGGAAGUACCUGGAGUUGGCCGUCAUGGGCAAGAUCAACAAGGUACUGGUGCGCUACAUGCGUGAGGACGGCAAGCAGCACACAGUCAACCUGCAGGGCACCAACCUGGCCGAUGGCCGCACCCAGUCCGCCAUCCUGCACAUCGGCGGCCUCCGGCGGGACAACCUCCAGCUGGGGCUGUACGUCAACUGCAGGCUGGCCGACUCCAGCCACGGGCACCCCUUGCUAAUGCCUCUGCCCCCCAGUGGAGAAGCCAUGGACAUCCGCAACGGCCACAAGGCUUACGCAAGAUUACAGGGAUCCGUGGAGUCUCUGAAAAUGGCUCUGGGGGGCUCAUUGGUCAAAGCAGGCGUCCUGACGGACUGCCCUUUCCAAGGGGAUUCAUCGCAGCACAGCUCGGGGGGCAGUGAGCUGAACUCCAUCCUGGGUGAGCACACCAAGGUUCUGAUUGGCCAGCUGAUCAUCUUUAACCAGAUUCUUGGCGAGCUGAGGCAGGAUAUCAGGGAACAGGUGAAGGAGAUGUCGCUCAUCAGAAACACUAUCCUGGAGUGCCAAGUGUGCGGCUUCCACGAGCCCCAGUCCCGCUGCCUGCCCAGCCCCUGCUACCAGGGCGUGUCCUGCAUGGAGAUGCUGGACUAUCCAGGGUACCGCUGCGGGCCCUGCCCUGAGGGCAUGAUGGGUAAUGGGACACACUGCCAGGACGCAGACGAGUGCUCCCUGGUGCAGCCCUGCUUCUCUGCAGCAGCCUGUGUGAACUCUGCCCCGGGCUUCUCCUGUAAGCUCUGCCCGCCCGGGUUCACGGGCCCCCCCGUCACUGGGGUGGGGCUGGAGUAUGCCAAGAUCCACAAGCAGGAGUGCUCAGACGUUGACGAGUGUGUGAAUGGCAGCAGCGCAUGUGUGCCCAACUCCAUUUGCAUUAACACUGCGGGAUCCUAUAAGUGUGGCCCCUGCAAAGCAGGCUUUUCGGGUAACCAGUUAACAGGCUGCUUCCCCCAGAGGUCCUGCUCCACACUCGGCUAUGACCCCUGUGAUGUCAAUGCACACUGCCUCACUGAGCGCAGCGGGGAGGUGUCCUGCAUGUGCAAUGUAGGCUGGGCAGGAAACGGGAACACCUGUGGGCCUGACACGGACCUGGAUGGCUACCCAGAUGCCUCUCUGCCCUGCAUAGACAAUGACAAGCACUGCAAGCCGGUGGGUGACCUCAUGGCUCGCUGUCGAACCCAGACCUUCACUGGCGUCCCGCCGACUUUCAUGCAUAUGAGCUCCCUGUUUGCCAGAGCUGUCCUCAAAAGGCUGCAUGUUCCUUCCCUCCUGCAGGACAACUGCCCUCACACGCCAAACUCAGGCCAGGAGGACACAGACAACGACGGGGUCGGUGACCAGUGUGACGAGGAUGCUGAUGGAGACAGCAUAAAGAAUGUGGAGGACAACUGCCGCCUGAUGCCCAACAAGGACCAGCAGAACUCGGACACCGACUCAUUCGGUGACGCUUGUGACAACUGCCCCAACGUUGCUAACGGCGACCAGAAGGACACCGAUGGGAAUGGGAAAGGCGACAUGUGUGACAACGACAUCGACGGGGACGGCAUCCCCAACGUGCUGGACAACUGCCCCCGCGUACCCAACCCCAUGCAGACGGACCGGGAUAGUGAUGGUGUGGGCGAUGCCUGCGACAGCUGCCCCGAGGCCAGCAACCCCACACAGACGGACAUCGACAACGACUUGGUGGGAGAUGUGUGUGACACCAACCUGGACAACGACGGCGACGGGCUCCAGAACUCACGUGACAACUGUCCCGAGGUGCCGAACAGCUCUCAGCUGGACUCCGACAACGACGGCACCGGGGAUGAGUGUGAUGAGGACGACGACAACGACGGGAUCCCCGACUACGGCAGCCCCGGGCCAGAUAACUGCCGGCUGAUCCCCAACCCCAACCAGAAGGACUCCGACGGUGAUGGUGUUGGGGACGUGUGUGAGGAGGACUUUGACAAUGACACGGUGCUGGACGUGGUCGACGUGUGUCCCGAGAGCGCUGAGGUCACGGUGACCGAUUUCAGGGCCUACCAGACGGUGAUCCUGGACCCCGAGGGUGACGCGCAGAUCGACCCCAACUGGGUGGUUCUUAACCAGGGCAUGGAGAUUGUCCAGACCAUGAACAGUGAUCCUGGCUUGGCCGUGGGCUACACGGCCUUCAACGGAGUCGACUUCGAGGGCACGUUCCACAUCAACACGGUGACGGACGACGACUACGUGGGCUUCAUCUUCGGCUACCAGGACUCAUCCAGCUUCUACGUGGUCAUGUGGAAGCAGACAGAGCAGGCCUACUGGCAGCUGCUGCCCUUCCGCGCCACGGCGGAACCCGGCCUGCAGCUCAAGGCAGUGAAGUCCCGCACUGGCCCGGGCGAGUUCCUGCGAAAUGCCCUGUGGCAUACGGGCGACACCCAUGGCGAGGUGAAGCUGCUUUGGAAGGACCCCCGCAACGUGGGUUGGAGGGACAAAACCUCUUACCGUUGGCAGCUGAACCACCGGCCCCAGGUCGGCUACAUCAGGGUGCAGCUGUAUGAAGGGAUGGCAGUGGUGGCCGAUUCGGGCACGGUGAUUGACACGACGAUGAGGGGUGGCCGGCUAGGGGUCUUCUGCUUCUCCCAGGAAAACAUCAUCUGGUCCAAUCUACGCUACCGCUGCAAUGACACUGUGCCGGACAGCUUUGGCUUGUACCGCACGCAGGCCUAGGCGGCCUCCCUGUGUGAGGAGUGUGACCAAGGGGGCAACAGCUCUCAGGUGCCGCCCUGGAGGCAGUUUCAGCACAACCACCAGCCGGCAGAAUAUCUGUGUGUAGAUUUGUAUCGGAGAAGUGUUUGUGUAUGUAUGGUUUGGGUGUUUAUCUGUGUAGUAUGACUGCUGGUAUAUGUGUAUGGGGUUAGUGUUUUUUGUAUCUGUAAAAAAUAAGUGUGUGUGUGUGUAAGGGGAUAAUAUGUGCCUACAUGUAGGCGUGAGUAUACCUGUCUGUCUAUCUGAUUCUGUAUGGCGUCUGUAUGAAAGUGGGGUUUCCAUGCCAGUGUGCCACAGAGAGAUGAGUUAUAUGCCUGUGCGUUAAUGUGUCGACUUCAGGGAUGAAUCACACUAACCGCCCCCAACAAACUGCCCCAAGACGCAUGUCCCAAACUGGCCUACCCCUGUGCUACCGUCCGAAUGCCCUGCGAACACGACUUCACGAGAACAUCUACUGCAAAAUCCCUAUAGAGGAAAAUAUUUCAUUCGGUGUAAACCAACACAGCUAAAGAUGCCUUAAUCCAUUUAGUUAAAAAAAAAAGAAGCUCAAGAUACGAAUGUCAUAGACAAUUAUCAUGUAACAUUUUAUUCCAGAAAGGGCAAUAUUUUUAAGCUCUUUUUUUGUAAGCUGGGGCUCAUGGAGCGGGAUCCGUCCCUUUACGUUGUCUGGAGUGAGGAUGUACCUGCAUUCUGCAGAGGACGUCAUGACGCUUAUUCUGACAAAUGGACAUAUGACAAAGCUUGUUGUAAGAGAUUCGGGCACUAAAAUGGUACCAGGAAAUGC